AGUGAACGCUGGCGGUAGGCCUAACACAUGCAAGUCGAACGGCAGCACAGUAAGAGCUUGCUCUUACGGGUGGCGAGUGGCGGACGGGUGAGGAAUACAUCGGAAUCUACUUUUUCGUGGGGGAUAACGUAGGGAAACUUACGCUAAUACCGCAUACGACCUACGGGUGAAAGCAGGGGAUCUUCGGACCUUGCGCGAUUGAAAGAGCCGAUGUCGGAUUAGCUAGUUGGCGGGGUAAAGGCCCACCAAGGCGACGAUCCGUAGCUGGUCUGAGAGGAUGAUCAGCCACACUGGAACUGAGACACGGUCCAGACUCCUACGGGAGGCAGCAGUGGGGAAUAUUGGACAAUGGGCGCAAGCCUGAUCCAGCCAUACCGCGUGGGUGAAGAAGGCCUUCGGGUUGUAAAGCCCUUUUGUUGGGAAAGAAAAGCAGCAGGUUAAUACCCCGCCGUUCUGACGGUACCCAAAGAAUAAGCACCGGCUAACUUCGUG
rnacentral:rRNA from 1 species